AUUGAACGCUGGCGGCAGGCCUAACACAUGCAAGUCGAACGAGUGGCGGACGGGUGAGUAAUGUCUGGGAAACUGACUGAUGGAGGGGGAUAACUACUGGAAACGGUAGCUAAUACCGCAUACCAUCAGAUGUGCCCAGAUGGGAUUAGCUAGUUGGUGGGGUAACGGCUCACCAAGGCGACGGUCCCUAGCUGGUCUGAGAGGAUGACCAUCCACACGGGAACUGAGACACGGUCCAGCCUCCUACGGGAGGCAGCAGGGGGGAAUAUUGCACAAUGGGCGCAAGCCUGAGGCAGCCAUGCCGCGUGUAUGAAGAAGGCCUUCGGGUUGUAAAGUACUUUCAGCGAGGAGGCGUGACUCGCAGAAGAAGCACCGGCUAACUCCGUGCCAGCCGCCGCGGUAAUUC
rnacentral:rRNA from 1 species